rnacentral:rRNA from 1 species
AGAGUUUGAUCAUGGCUCAGAACGAACGUUGGCGGCGUGGAUUAGGCAUGCAAGUCGCGCGAAUCCCCGCAAGGGGGGAAGCGGCGUAAGGGGCAGUAAGGCGUGGGUAACCUACCCUCCGGUCCGGGAUAGCCCGUCGAGAGACGGGGUAAUACCGGGCGACACCGCGUUCCGGCAUCGGGGCGCGGUCAGAGGCGCGAGUCGCCGGGGGCGGGGCCCACGUGGUAUUAGCUAGUUGGUGGGGUGACGGCCCACCAAGGCGGAGAUGCCUAGCGGGUGUGAGAGCACGACCCGCGCCACGGGCACUGAGACACUGGCCAGACACCUACGGGUGGCUGCAGUCGAGGAUCUUCGGCAAUGGGGGCAACCCUGACCGAGCGACGCCGCGUGGGCGAUGAAGGCCUUCGGGUUGUAAAGCCCUGUCGAGGGGGAGGAAGCCGCAAGGUUGACCUAUCCCUGGAGGAAGCUCGGGCUAAGUUCGUGCCAGCCGCCGCGGUAAUUC